rnacentral:tRNA from 1 species
UAUAGUAAGCUUCACCAUCGAAUGGUGAGUAAGAUUUAAAAAUCUCUAUUUAU